rnacentral:tRNA from 1 species
GGAAAUGUGCCUGAAUAUUAAUAAGGGUCACUAUGAUAAAGUGAACAUAGAGGUGCACCAAUCCUCUCAUUUCCU